GUCGAGAAUCUUUCACAAUGGGGGCAACCCUGAUGGAGCGACGCCGCGUGGAGGAUAAGGUCUUCGGAUUGUAAACUCCUGUCAUGCGUGAACAAGGUUGCUUGGAUAAUACCUGAGCAAAUUGAUGGUAGCGCAAGAGGAAGAGACGGCUAACUCUGUGCCAGCAGCCGCGGUAAUACAGAGGUCUCAAGCGUUGUUCGGAAUCACUGGGCGUAAAGGGUGCGUAGGUGGCGUGGCAAGUCAGAUGUGAAAGCCCGUGGCUCAACCUCGGAACUGCAUCCGAUACUGCCAUGCUAGAGUACUGGAGGGGUGACUAGAAUUCUCGGUGUAGCAGUGAAAUGCGUAGAUAUCGAGAGGAAUACCAAGGGCGUAGGCAGGUCACUGGACAGUUACUGACACUGAGGCACGAAGGCCAGGGGAGCGAACGGGAUUAGAAACCCGGGUAGUCC
rnacentral:rRNA from 1 species